rnacentral:rRNA from 1 species
AGAGUUUGAUCCUGGCUCAGGACGAACGCUGGCGGCGCGCCUAACACAUGCAAGUCGAACGAGCGAGAGAGAGCUUGCUUUCUUGAGCGAGUGGCGAACGGGUGAGUAACGCGUGAGGAACCUGCCUCAAAGAGGGGGACAACAGUUGGAAACGACUGCUAAUACCGCAUAAGCCCACGGCUCGGCAUCGAGCAGAGGGAAAAGGAGCAAUCCGCUUUGAGAUGGCCUCGCGUCCGAUUAGCUAGUUGGUGAGGUAACGGCCCACCAAGGCGACGAUCGGUAGCCGGACUGAGAGGUUGAACGGCCACAUUGGGACUGAGACACGGCCCAGACUCCUACGGGAGGCAGCAGUGGGGAAUAUUGCACAAUGGGGGAAACCCUGAUGCAGCGACGCCGCGUGGAGGAAGAAGGUCUUCGGAUUGUAAACUCCUGUUGUUGAGGAAGAUAAUGACGGUACUCAACAAGGAAGUGACGGCUAACUACGUGCCAGCAGCCGCGGUAAAACGUAGGUCACAAGCGUUGUCCGGAAUUACUGGGUGUAAAGGGAGCGCAGGCGGGAAGACAAGUUGGAAGUGAAAUCCAUGGGCUCAACCCAUGAACUGCUUUCAAAACUGUUUUUCUUGAGUAGUGCAGAGGUAGGCGGAAUUCCCGGUGUAGCGGUGGAAUGCGUAGAUAUCGGGAGGAACACCAGUGGCGAAGGCGGCCUACUGGGCACCAACUGACGCUGAGGCUCGAAAGUGUGGGUAGCAAACAGGAUUAGAUACCCUGGUAGUCCACACUGUAAACGAUGAUUACUAGGUGUUGGAGGAUUGACCCCUUCAGUGCCGCAGUUAACACAAUAAGUAAUCCACCUGGGGAGUACGACCGCAAGGUUGAAACUCAAAGGAAUUGACGGGGGCCCGCACAAGCAGUGGAGUAUGUGGUUUAAUUCGACGCAACGCGAAGAACCUUACCAAGUCUUGACAUCCUGCGACGCACAUAGAAAUAUGUGUUUCCUUCGGGACGCAGAGACAGGUGGUGCAUGGUUGUCGUCAGCUCGUGUCGUGAGAUGUUGGGUUAAGUCCCGCAACGAGCGCAACCCUUAUGGUCAGUUACUACGCAAGAGGACUCUGGCCAGACUGCCGUUGACAAAACGGAGGAAGGUGGGGAUGACGUCAAAUCAUCAUGCCCUUUAUGACUUGGGCUACACACGUACUAUAAUGGCGUUAAACAAAGAGAAGCAAGACCGCGAGGUGGAGCAAAACUCAGAAACAACGUCCCAGUUCGGACUGCAGGCUGCAACUCGCCUGCACGAAGUCGGAAUUGCUAGUAAUCGCAGAUCAGCAUGCUGCGGUGAAUACGUUCCCGGGCCUUGUACACACCGCCCGUCACACCAUG